rnacentral:rRNA from 1 species
UACAGAGGUCUCAAGCGUUGUUCGGAAUCAUUGGGCGUAAAGGGCGCGUAGGUGGUUCUGUAUGUCUACCGUGAAAGCGUACGGCUCAACCGUAUUUUGUCGGUAGAAACUGCAGGACUUGAGGCUGGGAGGGGCUGGUGGAAUUCCCUGUGUAGCGGUGAAAUGCGUAGAGAUGGGGGAGAACACUCGUGGCGAAGGCGGCCAGCUAGACCAGUUCUGACACUGAGGCGCGACAGCGUGGGGAGCAAACAGG